UCUCACAGUAUGUGAUGAUAUAUACCAACCACAGAGCAGACAGUAUUGAAAUGUAACUGCAGUGUGGUCUACUGUCCAGUAAUCUGUCUUCAGCACCACCGACAGCCACUGAUAUACAAUCAAUGGCCAACAAACAGUAUUAAAUACAAUGAGCAAGAAUUCAAACAGAUCAGUGGUUAGUGUGUAUUAUCUGUGUUUGAGGGGGCAAACCCUCGGACCAGAUUUCUUGGAACGCUGAUGGGAAACUGCACAGCUGAAUCUGUGGAAGUUCCACCUGAACCUCUGACAGAAUAGGAGUCUUUAGUGUUUUAUCUGUUAAUGUAAUUGGUCCAUCAACAUAAACAAAAAAAUGAGUUACUUGUCUUCAGACAUCUACUGGUACCCUUUUUAUUUUGCUGCUUGUUCACUAUGAAAAACAUAGCACUGCCUUUUCAGUCGCAUAAUGCUUAUUUUGUGACAAAUUCCAAAGACUGGAAUAGAAUUUGCACUGCUUAACAAACUACUUUGUCAAUUUACUGUGAUUUACAUACUAGGCAUUGUUGACAGGAAUUGUUUCAAUUAAAAUGUAUUUUUAAUUACUUUUUGGUUACUUUGGUAUGGACUUAUGUUGUGCAAAGUACAAACCUGAAUGUAAACUUGACCACUGGUUACAGCAGAUAAGUGUCAACAUGAAUAAAUCUGCUGACAGUCUGA